rnacentral:rRNA from 1 species
UUGACCUCGAAUCAGGUAGGAAUACCCGCUGAACUUAAGCAUAUCAAUAAGCGGAGGAAAAGAAACCAACAGGGAUUGCCCCAGUAACGGCGAGUGAAGCGGCAACAGCUCAAAUUUGAAAUCUGGCUCUCGGGCCCGAGUUGUAAUUUGUAGAGGAUGCUUUUGGUGAGGUGCCUUCCGAGUUCCCUGGAACGGGACGCCAUAGAGGGUGAGAGCCCCGUCUGGUUGGACACCGAUCCUCUGUAAAGCUCCUUCGACGAGUCGAGUAGUUUGGGAAUGCUGCUCUAAAUGGGAGGUAUAUGUCUUCUAAAGCUAAAUACCGGCCAGAGACCGAUAGCGCACAAGUAGAGUGAUCGAAAGAUGAAAAGAACUUUGAAAAGAGAGUUAAACAGUACGUGAAAUUGUUGAAAGGGAAGCGCUUGUGACCAGACUUGGGCUUGGUUGAUCAUCCGGGGUUCUCCCCGGUGCACUCUUCCGGCUCAGGCCAGCAUCAGUUCGCCCUGGGGGACAAAGGCUUCGGGAAUGUGGCUCUCUCCGGGGAGUGUUAUAGCCCGUUGCGUAAUACCCUGUGGCGGACUGAGGUUCGCGCAUUCGCAAGGAUGCUGGCGUAAUGGUCAUCAGUGACCCGUCUUGAAACACGGACCAAGGAGUCGUCUUCGUAUGCGAGUGUUCGGGUGUCAAACCCCUACGCGAAAUGAAAGUGAACGCAGGUGAGAGCUUCGGCGCAUCAUCGACCGAUCCUGAUGUUAUCGGAUGGAUUUGAGUAAGAGCAUACGGGGCCGGACCCGAAAGAAGGUGAACUAUGCCUGUGUAGGGUGAAGCCAGAGGAAACUCUGGUGGAGGCUCGCAGCGGUUCUGACGUGCAAAUCGAUCGUCAAACAUGGGCAUGGGGGCGAAAGACUAAUCGAACCUUCUAGUAGCUGGUUUCCGCCGAAGUUUCCCUCAGGAUAGCAGUGUUGAACUCAGUUUUAUGAGGUAAAGCGAAUGAUUAGGGACUCGGGGGCGCUAUUUAGCCUUCAUCCAUUCUCAAACUUUAAAUAUGUAAGAAGCCCUUGUUGCUUAAUUGAACGUGGGCAUUCGAAUGAAUCAACACUAGUGGGCCAUUUUUGGUAAGCAGAACUGGCGAUGCGGGAUGAACCGAACGCGAGGUUAAGGUGCCAGAGUAGACGCUCAUCAGACACCACAAAAGGUGUUAGUACAUCUUGACAGCAGGACGGUGGCCAUGGAAGUCGGAAUCCGCUA